CAAGACCCAAGCUGAAGGCAGACACUUAAUGACUGAGCCACCCAAGUGGACCCGUUGGAAGUUUUUCAAAAGGUGAAAUUGAAAUUUAUUUUUAGGACAAAUUGAUGUUAUUAUGAAGACUGCCACCCCAAUGGCUUUUUAGCUGUGUAAAUAAAAUGUGAAAGAUUUUUCCCUGAAAUAGAGGCUUUUUUAAGAUUCAAGGAGUAUUAUGUAACUAUUAUACUCCAUGCAUAAAUAUCUGCUGAGAGAGUCCUCUGGGCCAGGCCACAUGCUAGACAUACAGAGCUGAACAGCCAAGAUAUGGUUCUUGCCCUCGUGGAACUUACAGCCUAGUGUGAGAGACAGAAGAUGAACUAAAUGUUAACAAUAUGUUAGAUGAGACUUUCCUACUAUCUAGGUAUUUCGCCAGAAGUUCCAAGCCUGAGAAAUCACACAUUCAAAAGAAAGGGUUUAGUUUCUUUUUCAGACAGGAGAGACAGGAGUUUGAACGAGUGGUGAGUAGAUCUCAAGGGAAACAAAUAAAUAAGGUAAUUAUUCAUUCCAGGAGUACAAGUUAUGUAAGGAAAGGAAAGUAAUCAUGGAAUAUUAUAUAUCUGGGCUCUGAAUAGAGUUUACAUAAUUAUAAUAAUAUAAGCAGUAAUCAUUGAGAAAAUACAAAUACUCAAAAAUACACACAUACAUAGAGAAAGAGAGUGAGACACAGCGAGGGGAGACACGGAAUGAUAAAGAGAACAGCAACAACAGCAAAACAGAUCAGAGGAGGAAAGAAAGGAGAUAGAUAAAUCGGUAGUAGAUGGAUAAUAGGCGGAUGGAAAGAGGGGAAGUGUUUUGUGUGUGGUGGGGACAGUUACGGGAGAAAGCACAGGUAAAAGAAAAGAAUAAAUCCACUCUUCCCUAUUGAGAGGAUGAUAAAAUCUACAAAUGAAAAAUUUUAAAAAAUAGUUAAAAACAUGCUAUUUAGAGAUGUGUCGGUAAGUACCAAAAUAAGCAAAAGAGCCAAGCAGGAACCAGUAUUUGUGUAACAAGCCUUGUAAACUGAACGUGAAAUGUUAAUAAAAAUAAAAAUGAGCUUCAAGCAAACAGUAUGUGACCGUAUUCUCUAGCUGCUAAGAUAUUUGAGUCACAUCAGGAUUUUAAGUCAUCAGAAUGUUUUGGAGAAUUCAUGCUUCACUGUCCAAGAAAAUAGUCUGUUGUUUUUCCUUUCGGCUAAUAUCUGAAUCUGUGUUACGGCUAACUUUUCUAACUUUGUUCUUAUGAACCACUGUGUAUGGGGGACAUUUUGAAAGCAAGAACAGAAGACCUGAAUUACUUUCACCAUUCAGCUGCUUAAUAACUGCCAAGCACAGCAGUGAGCAAAAAUUCCUGCCCUCUUUCGAGCUUUGGGAUAGAAGGUGGGACAGAAGAGACAGAAAAAAACCUGAAAGACAAGCAAGUUAUCCGUUACGGUACCUGAUGACGACAACAGCUUAAGAAGAUUCAAUUGGCUGGUGUGAUUGAUAGAAUUAAGUGGCUAAUGACUGAGGAGGUGGGACAUUUCCAAUUCCAAAGGAAGAAUUGGAGCAAGCAAUAUGGGAGAUAUCAUCUGUGAUUUUUCAUCUUGACUAGUAGAAAAGGAUAAUCCUUAUGUAAUUGUUUGGAACAUUUAUGAUAUAGAAUACAUAAAAUUAAAUAAUGUCUACUGCAGCCCCCCUCCCUUUGGACCUGAGUGAUUUCCUAUCCAAUUUUCCUCUCACUUGGUCAAUUCAUUUUUCAGCUGGGUCCUCUUGAAGAAACAAAACAUAAAUUGGACUUGCCAUUGUGUCUUGGACUAUUUUUGGUGACAAUUUUCUGUGACAGGGAAAAAGAAUUGCUAAUUCAUUGCUUCAGGAAAUGAAGGCCUAAUAGCCUCACAUCUGGUAAAUUAUGGUCUUCCUGCUUCUUGAGGCAGCAACAGUACACACAACAUUAUUUGGAAUUAAGAAAAAGCA